rnacentral:rRNA from 1 species
CCUACGGGGGGCAGCAGUGGGGGAUAUUGCACAAUGGGGGAAACCCUGAUGCAGCGACGCCGCGUGUGGGAAGACGGUCCUCUGGAUUGUAAACCACUGUCCCCAGGGACGAAGAUGACGGUACCUGACUAAGAAGCCCCGGCUAACUACGUGCCAGCAGCCGCGGUAAUACGUAGGGGGCAAGCGUUAUCCGGAUUUACUGGGUGUAAAGGGAGCGUAGGCGGUUUAGCAAGUCAGAAGUGAAAGCCCGGGGCUCAACUCCGGGACUGCUUUUGAAACUGUUGAACUAGAUUGCAGGAGAGGUG